rnacentral:rRNA from 1 species
UACGGAGGAUGCAGGCGUUAUCCGGAUUUAUUGGGUUUAAAGGGUGCGCAGGUUGUUUGAUAAGUCAGUGGUGAAAGUCUGUCGCUUAACGGUAGGAUUGCCAUUGAUACUGUUAGACUUGAAUAUGGAUGAGGUAGGCGGAAUGUGUAGUGUAGCGGUGAAAUGCAUAGAUAUUACACAGAACACCGAUUGCGAAGGCAGCUUACUAAUCCAUCAUUGACGCUGAGGCACGAAAGCGUGGGGAUCAAACAGGA